rnacentral:rRNA from 1 species
AACGAACGCUGGCGGCAUGCCUAACACAUGCAAGUCGAACGAGACCUUCGGGUCUAGUGGCUCACGGGUGCGUAACGCGGGGGAACCUGCCCUUAGGCUCGGAAUAACUCCCCGUAAGGGGUGCUAAUACCGGAUAAUGUCUUCUGACCAAAGAUUUAUCGCCUUUGGAUGGGCCCGCGUUGGAUUAACUAGUUGGUAGGGUAAAAGCCUACCAAGGCGGCGAUCCAUAGCUGGGAUGAGAGGAUGAUCAGCCACACUGGGACUGGGACCCGGCCCGGACUCCUGCGGGAGGCAGCAGUGGGGAAUAUUGGACAAUGGGCGAGAGCAUGAGCCAGCAGUGCCGCGUAGGUGAUGAAGGCCUUAGGGUUGUAAAGCUCUUUUACCCGGGAUGAUAAUGCCAGUACCGGGAGAAUAGGCUCCGCCUAAUUCCGG